GGCUGGUCCGAGUGCAGUGGUGUUUACAACUAAUUGAUCACAACCAGUUACAGAUUUCUGUGUUCCUUCUCCUCUCCCACAGCUUCACUUGACUAGCCUUAA
ensembl:misc_RNA Y_RNA Y RNA